GUGGGAUCUUGACUAUGGUUAGUUGCCUGUCUGCACUAAGUUGUAUAGCGUUUUGGUUGUUGGAUUUUGUUAAGUGUUUCAUUCAUUAGAAGAGAAUGUACGCAUACCACGCUGCUCCUUGGUCUCACUCAUACAACGGGCAUGACAGACAGAUGGAAGACAAAGGCACCAACUGUGCUAAUUAGCUAUCUAGCAUGCUCGGAAGACGUGUUUGUAAUGGAAGAAGGCCGCCAGGAACGUGUUGUCACUGAAAUAUUGUUUCAUGUGAUGUAAAGGUCUUUAUGUUUCUAGAACCAUAUUGCAAUUUAGAAUUGAUUCACGUUUAGAUGGAGUAUUUAGCUGUUUUGGCUGCCAGAGCCAGUCUACCUCUGAAGAUAUCAUAAGGUCCUUGGACCUUACAGUUUUUCCCAAUUGUUUACUCACUAAAAUUGGAACUUGAAACGCAAUCACUGAAACCUGAAACUCAUGUACUAAAUCCCUAAACCAAGUCUGCAAAAUUGCAAGCGCAAUUCCUGCUUUACACUCAGUUUUCAAUUCUAUAUCACACUUUUUGUAAAACACUACACACAGUUCUCUACAUUGGGCACCACAUUCAAAAUUAAAAUCUCUUUAGUCCCUCUGGAAAGCAAUGCCAGUCACAAUUCCAAGCUCUAUAAUUGGCAACACCCACAACUCACAGGUAUAGUUGCUGAAUUGUUCACUUACAAAUCAGAGCUUUAGCACUAAAGGCCACAGAUGAGCUCUCCUGUUUUGGAGGAAAAUUUAAGUCAAUGGUGACGCAAGAGGUAAAGGAGUGGAAAGGAGGUUGUCUCAGAUGAGAUCAGGGUCACAUUGGUUGACCAUGUGCUCGGCCAUGGAUUGAGUAUGAGGAAGGUUGGGCAGAGUUCAGCCAAACCUGAGCUGCUACACUACAUCUAUCAUCCGUACAUUCAGAAAUGAGAACCGAUAAGUUACUUACCAUCUACACCCUGCUCUAAAACUGAGAGACGGCCAGGCCAUGGUGGAAGACUCCGGCUGUCACACCAGAACAGGAGACCGCUACUGUGAACAUGAUCGUGGCAAACAAUACCAUUAGACAACAAGAAAUCCAGAACCACAUAAUCGCAGACAACAAAAUAUUCAGUAACAUUCACCAGAUGGGCUUGUCUACAUUGGACCGUGUACUACAGUGUAACUGACUCCGGAUGAAACAGGUCUACAGGGUGCCAUUUGAGCGAAACUGAGGGUUAAGGAACAGCGCUAUGAAUAUGUGCAAAGUCUUGGAGCUGGAUGCUGCUUCAAUUCAGCAUGUUUAUAUUUACCUUGAGGCUGGCUUCAACCUAGCCAAAUGAAGGGGUCAGGAACCAAACAUUAUUGGCCAUUGUGAAUGUCCCUGGACAUCGUGGAGGGAAUAUCACCAUGUGCGCAGCCGUUAGACAGCAAGGCAUCCGCCAUCACCAUGCCAACCUUGGUCCCUACAACACCGCCCUUCAUCACAUUCCUGGACACACUACAUGGAAUCCUCAUUCCAGCCAAGCAGAGGGGUGGACCAGAGCAGCACAGGUAUGUUGUCAUCUGGGACUACAUGAGUUUCCACCGGGCUGCAAUGGUCCGUAACUGGUUCAUCGACCACCCACAACGUAUUGUUCUAUACCUCCCACCAUAUUCCCCAUUCCUAAACCCAAUUGAAUAGUUUUUUUCCGCAUGGCGAUGGAAGGUGUAUGACCGCCAUCCUCUCGCACGCAUGCCUCUUCUCCUGGCAAUGGAGGAUGCAUGUAGUGAUGUUGAUGUGGGGGCUUUUGGCAGCUGGAUCCAUCACUUCAGAAGGAGAGCAUGGCUUGUGAUGUAGAUGAAGUUGCUGUGGUCAGACCAAAAUAGGAGGCAGGAUGUAACCUAAUGUCUUUCUACACUAUGCAUGUUUUAUCUUUUUGUUUAGAGCUUUGAAAGAAUGAGCCACUUCAGGGUUUUCUUUACAGAAUGAAAACAUUAUCUUAGUGAAUAUAUUCUCAUUUUGUGUAUUGAAAGUGUUACAUACCAAACAAGUCUUAAAAAUAAUGCAUUUUGGAAAUAAAUGGGAAUGGUUUUAUUACUGUAUUGCAUGUGUGUUUAUUUAUGUAAACUCAGCAGAAAUGUUGUAAGAUUUCAUUGUAAAUUAAUUAAACACUGUUUGCCAUGGU